AGCUACUGCACCAGUACAUGUGCAUUUCCGCGAGCCUUCCAGUUAAAGCGGUGGAUCAACAAAUUUAAUUGACUUAAGUCACCGUAUUACGGUUCUCUCGACGCAAACAUGUCUGUUAACGACGUCUGGAACUUCUAUGAACACGCCUUCACUAAGAGAUCCGUGAGGAGAUUCGUUUUAACGCAACCCACAUGAUCGCCUGACCUGGAUCAUCGCCAACCAUAAAGAUGUUUUCACGAAGAACUAGUUUCUCACUGUCGGCGCCAUGACACUCUCCACACUGAAUUGUUUCCAGCUAUCCCUGUCUGUCUAUGUCCCCGACAACCAGGGACGCAAGACCUCUUUCACAAGCUACUGAAUGUAUAUGCCAUGAGGAUCUUGGAGUAAGUAGACUUGUACCCCCCUCAGUCCCCAAACGUUUUUUGUCGAGUAAUCUCCUGAAAUGUUAGAUUGUCCUUCCCUGCACGUACAUACUUUUCAGACUACGUAGCUUCUUUAUCUGUUAACCUGGAAGACAAGAUUCGAACUGGGUUAAUUUGUUCUCAGACUCCUGCUCCAAGCUCAAGAUGCCAUUGUCAAUGCAAACCUUGACAAACGUGUUGUAUACCAGUUGCAGGAUAGUUACAGUGCAGCUUGUUCAGUGCUGUGUUGUCGUUCCCCCUGCAAAUACUGACAGGUUUCCAGCUAUCCCUGUCUGUCUACUUCCACUCCGGCAGCCAGGGACGCAAGGUUUCAGACAUUUGUAUUGUCAUGUUUAAAAUCUUUCUCAUGCACGUGUCUUGUUUCUUACGACUGCUUGAAUUUUGGCUUUUUU